rnacentral:rRNA from 1 species
UACAGAGGGUGCGAGCGUUAAUCGGAAUUACUGGGCGUAAAGCGCACGUAGGUGGCGACGUAAGUCGGGUGUGAAAGCCCCGGGCUCAACCUGGGAAUUGCAUUCGAGACUGCAUUGCUGGAGUACGGAAGAGGAAGGCGGAAUUCCCGGUGUAGCGGUGAAAUGCGUAGAUAUCAGGAGGAACACCGAUGGCGAAGGCAGUUCUCUGGGCCGUAACUGACGCUGAGGAGCGAAAGCGUGGGGAGCGAACAGG